UGGGGAAUCUUGGACAAUGGGCGCAAGCCUGAUCCAGCCAUGCCGCGUGGAUGAUGAAGGCCCUAGGGUUGUAAAAUCCUUUCGUUGGGGACGAUAAUGACGGUACCCAAAGAAGAAGCUCCGGCUAACUUCGUGCCAGCAGCCGCGGUAAUACGAAGGGGGCUAGCGUUGUUCGGAUUUACUGGGCGUAAAGCGCGUGUAGGCGGGUCGUUAAGUUGGGGGUGAAAUCCCGAGGCUCAACCUCGGAACUGCCUUCAAAACUGGCGACCUGGACCUAAGUAGAGGCAAGUGGAAUUGCGAGUGUAGAGGUGAAAUUCGUAGAUAUUCGCAGGAACACCAGUGGCGAAGGCGACUUGCUGGACUUAUGGUGACGCUGAGACGCGAAAGCGUGGGGAGCAAACAGGAUUAGAUACCCAGGUAGUCCCUGAGCGGGCUGGCAAGGCGCAU
rnacentral:rRNA from 1 species